GUCAAACCAUUGGAAGUUUACCUUGUACCCUUCUGGAGAUCACUUAAAGAAAACUUCAACAAUAUGGGGUUAUAUAAGCAUGAGUUUAAAAGGCAUGGAAUAUGGGCACAAACAGGUGUAAAAGAAUACUUCAAAACAGCAAUAAGGAUCAACAACAUCUCUUUUGUAGAGAUGAACUUGUACAAUUACUUGGAAACAAGUAAUAUUAUUACCUUUGAUACCUCGGGUUAUAUUGAAAAUGAUAUUGUUGAUGCUAUUCAAAAGUAUUUGCCUCGCCUACUCCUCUAUCGCCAGCACCUGCACCACCACAUGACCCCUCUCUCUCACCGGCCCCUACGCCAUCACAUGACCCCUUCAAUAUUUACCUCUCUUGUAGUUUGAUUAACACAAAACUUUACUUGAAUGAGGUUACUUUUUGCACUUAUCCCAAUGGGACUAAAUUUAUUUCAUGCCCUCAUCAAAUACCUGAUCCUCUAAGACGCUGCGAUGGAGCUAAUAUUAUGCUACCUCUUGCAAGAGCUCAAUCGCCGAUUCCACCAUCACCAUCACCACCACCUCCGAAUAAAUUUCAGGAAGAAGAAUAUGGGACAUAUCCAAUAUUUGAACGUUCAUGGGCUAAAUAUAUAUUCAACGGUUGGAUUUAAUGUAUCAAUUUUCUAAAAAUAAAUAAGAAAAGAGAAUGGAAUAUGCUGUAUCUGAUGACGUGUAAGCAUAUAUAAUGGGCACCCACUAAGUAAAAUUAUAAUUUAUUACCUUGAAUAAAAGUUUUAUUCUA